CUACGGGGGGCUCCAGUGGGGAAUAUUGGACAAUGGGGGAAACCCUGAUCCAGCAAUGCCGCGUGUGUGAAGAAGGCCUGCGGGUUGUAAAGCACUUUCGGUUGGGAGGACUGCUUCUAGCACUAAUAUUGUUGGAAGUUGACGUUACCUUCAGAAGAAGCACCGGCUAACUCCGUGCCAGCAGCCGCGGUAAUACGGAGGGGUGCAAGCGUUAAUCGGAAUUACUGGGCGUAAAGCGCGCGUAGGCGGCUAGAUCAGUCGGGUGUGAAAGCCCCGGGCUUAACCUGGGAACUGCAUCCGAUACUGUCUAGCUUGAGUACAGGAGAGGAGAGUGGAAUUCCACAUGUAGCGGUGAAAUGCGUAGAUAUGUGGAGGAACACCAAUGGCGAAGGCAGCUCUCUGGCCUGAUACUGACGCUGAGGUGCGAAAGCGUGGGGAGCAAACAGGAUUAGAUACCUCUGUAGUC
rnacentral:rRNA from 1 species